rnacentral:rRNA from 1 species
AUUGAACGCUGGCGGCAGGCUUAACACAUGCAAGUCGAGCGGGGUGAUGGUGCUCGCACUAUCACUUAGCGGCGGACGGGUGAGUAAUGCUUAGGAAUCUGCCUAUUAGUGGGGGACAACAUCUCGAAAGGGAUGCUAAUACCGCAUACGUCCUACGGGAGAAAGCAGGGGAUCACUUGUGACCUUGCGCUAAUAGAUGAGCCUAAGUCGGAUUAGCCAGGUGGUGGGGUAAAGGCCUACCAAGGCGACGAUCUGUAGCGGGUCUGAGAGGAUGAUCCGCCACACUGGGACUGAGACACGGCCCAGACUCCUACGGGAGGCAGCAGUGGGGAAUAUUGGACAAUGGGGGGAACCCUGAUCCAGCCAUGCCGCGUGUGUGAAGAAGGCCUUAUGGUUGUAAAGCACUUUAAGCGAGGAGGAGGCUCUUUUGGUUAAUACCCAAGAUGAGUGGACGUUACUCGCAGAAUAAGCACCGGCUAACUCUGUGCCAGCCGCCGCAGUAA